rnacentral:rRNA from 1 species
CCUACGGGUGGCUGCAGUGGGGAAUAUUGCACAAUGGGGGAAACCCUGAUGCAGCGACGCCGCGUGAGUGAAGAAGUAAUUCGUUAUGUAAAGCCCUAUCAGCAGGGAAGAAACUGACGGUACCUGAGUAACAAGCCCCGGGUAACUACGUGCCAGCAUCCGCGGUAAUCCGUAGGGGGCAAGCGUUAUCCGGAUUUACUGGGUGUAAAGGGAGCGUAGACGGCAGUGCAAGUCUGGUGGGAAAGGCGGGGGCUCAACCCCCGGACUGCUCUGGAAACUGGACGGCUGGAGUGCAAGAGAGGUAAGUGGAAUGCGUAGUGUAGCGGUGAAAUGCGUAGAUAUUAGGAGGAACACCAGUGGCGAAGGCGGCUUACUGGACUGUAACUGACGUUGAGGCACGAAAGCGUGGGGAGCGAACAGGAUUAGAUACCCGGGUAGUC